rnacentral:rRNA from 1 species
GAAUUCACUAGUGAUUCACAUGCAAGUCGAGGGGUAGUUGUCUUCGGACAAUGAGAAAAAAACACGGGUGCGUAACGCGUAUGCAAUCUACCUUUUGCAGGGGAAUAGCCCAGAGAAAUUUGGAUUAAUGCCCCAUAGUAUAAUGAGUUGGCAUCAACAUAUUAUUAAAGUCACAACGGCAAAAGAUGAGCAUGCGUCCCAUUAGUUAGUUGGUAAGGUAACGGCUUACCAAGACGAUGAUGGGUAGGGGUCCUGAGAGGGAGAUCCCCCACACUGGCAAUGAGACACGGACCAGACUCCUACGGGAGGCAGCAGUGAGGAAUAUUGGACAAUGGGCGCAAGCCU